rnacentral:rRNA from 1 species
GCAAGGGGAGCGGCAGACGGGAGAGUAACACGUGGGAACGUACCCUUUGGUUCGGAACAACCCAGGGAAACUUGGGCUAAUACCGAAUAAGCCCUUACGGGGAAAGAUUUAUCGCCAAAGGAUCGGCCCGCGUCUGAUUAGCUAGUUGGUGAGGUAACGGCUCACCAAGGCGACGAUCAGUAGCUGGUCUGAGAGGAUGAUCAGCCUCACUGGGACUGAGACACGGCCCAGACUCCUACGGGAGGCAGCAGUGGGGAAUAUUGGACAAUGGGCGCAAGCCUGAUCCAGCCAUGCCGCGUGGGUGAUGAAGGCCCUAGGG